rnacentral:rRNA from 1 species
AGAGUUUGAUCCUGGCUCAGAUUGAACGCUGGCGGCAGGCUUAACACAUGCAAGUCGAGCGGAAACGAUACCAGCUUGCUGGUAGGCGUCGAGCGGCGGACGGGUGAGUAACACUUAGGAAUCUACCUAGUAGUGGGGGAUAGCUCGGGGAAACUCGAAUUAAUACCGCAUACGACCUACGGGAGAAAGGGGGCAGUUUACUGCUCUCGCUAUUAGAUGAGCCUAAGUCGGAUUAGCUAGAUGGUGGGGUAAAGGCCUACCAUGGCGACGAUCUGUAGCUGGUCUGAGAGGAUGAUCAGCCACACCGGGACUGAGACACGGCCCGGACUCCUACGGGAGGCAGCAGUGGGGAAUAUUGGACAAUGGGGGCAACCCUGAUCCAGCCAUGCCGCGUGUGUGAAGAAGGCCUUUUGGUUGUAAAGCACUUUAAGCAGUGAAGAAGACUCUGUGGUUAAUACCCACAGACGAUGACAUUAGCUGCAGAAUAAGCACCGGCUAACUCUGUGCCAGCAGCCGCGGUAAUACAGAGGGUGCAAGCGUUAAUCGGAAUUACUGGGCGUAAAGCGAGCGUAGGUGGCUUGAUAAGUCAGAUGUGAAAUCCCCGGGCUUAACCUGGGAACUGCAUCUGAUACUGUUAAGCUAGAGUAGGUGAGAGGGAAAGUAGAAAUUUCAGGUGGUAGCGGUGAAAUGCCGUAGAGAUCUGAAGGAAAUACCGAUGGCGAAAGGCAGCUUCCUGGCAUCAUACUGACACUGAGCUCGAAAGCGUGGGUAGCAAACAGGAUUAGAUACCCUGGUAGUCCACGCCGUAAACGAUGUCUACUAGUCGUUGGGUCCCUUGAGGACUUAGUGACGCAGCUAACGCAAUAAGUAGACCGCCUGGGGAGUACGGCCGCAAGGUUAAAACUCAAAGGAAUUGACGGGAAGGG